GAUGAAGAACGUAGCGAAAUGCGAUAAGUAGUGUGAAUUGCAGAAUUCAGUGAAUCAUCGAAUCUUUGAACGCACAUUGCGCCCCUUGGUAUUCCAUGGGGCAUGCCUGUUCGAGCGUCAUUUGUACCUUCAAGCUCUGCUUGGUGUUGGGUGUUUGUCUCGCCUCCGCGUGUAGACUCGCCUUAAAACAAUUGGCAGCCGGCGUAUUGAUUUCGGAGCGCAGUACAUCUCGCGCUUUGCACUCAUAACGACGACGUCCAAAAGUACAUUUUUACACUCUUGACCUCGGAUCAGGUAGGGAUACCCGCUGAACUUAAGCAUAUCAAUAAGCGGAGGA
rnacentral:misc_RNA from 1 species